UUAGAGUUUGAUCCUGGCUCAGGAUGAACGCUAGCGGCAGGCUUAACACAUGCAAGUCGAGGGGCAGCGAGGGUAAUAGCAAUAUUACCUGUCGGCGACCGGCGCACGGGUGCGUAACGCGUAUGCAACCUACCAUCAACAGGGGGAUAACACUGAGAAAUUGGUACUAAUACCUCAUAAUAUCUCAUGCGGCAUCGCAUGGGGUUGAAAACUCCGGUGGUUGAUGAUGGGCAUGCGUUGUAUUAGCUUGUUGGUGAGGUAACGGCUCACCAAGGCGACGAUACAUAGGGGGACUGAGAGGUUAACCCCCCACAUUGGUACUGAGACACGGACCAAACUCCUACGGGAGGCAGCAGUGAGGAAUAUUGGUCAAUGGACGCAAGUCUGAACCAGCCAUGCCGCGUGCAGGAUGACGGCUCUAUGAGUUGUAAACUGCUUUUGUACGAGGGUAAACCCCGAUACGUGUAUUGGGUUGAAAGUAUCGUACGAAUAAGGAUCGGCUAACUCCGUGCCAGCAGCCGCGGUAAUACGGAGGAUCCGAGCGUUAUCCGGAUUUAUUGGGUUUAAAGGGUGCGUAGGCGGUUUGAUAAGUUAGAGGUGAAAUGUCGGGGCUCAACCCCGAAACUGCCUCUAAUACUGUUGGACUAGAGAAUAGUUGCGGUAGGCGGAAUGUAUGGUGUAGCGGUGAAAUGCUUAGAGAUCAUACAGAACACCGAUUGCGAAGGCAGCUUACCAAACUAUAUCUGACGUUGAGGCACGAAAGCGUGGGUAGCAAACAGGAUUAGAUACCCUGGUAGUCCACGCAGUAAACGAUGAUAACUCGUUGUCGGCGAUACACAGCCGGUGACUAAGCGAAAGCGAUAAGUUAUCCACCUGGGGAGUACGUUCGCAAGAAUGAAACUCAAAGGAAUUGACGGGGGCCCGCACAAGCGGAGGAACAUGUGGUUUAAUUCGAUGAUACGCGAGGAACCUUACCCGGGCUUGAAAGUUAGCGACGACGCUUGAAAGAGCGUUUCCCUUCGGGGCGCGAAACUAGGUGCUGCAUGGUUGUCGUCAGCUCGUGCCGUGAGGUGUCGGGUUAAGUCCCAUAACGAGCGCAACCCCUACUGUUAGUUGCCACCAGGUGAUGCUGGGCACUCUAGCGGGACUGCCGGUGUAAGCCGAGAGGAAGGUGGGGAUGACGUCAAAUCAGCACGGCCCUUACGUCCGGGGCCACACACGUGUUACAAUGGUAGGUACAGAGGGCAGCUACCCUGCGAAGGGGUGCGAAUCUCGAAAGCCUAUCUCAGUUCGGAUUGGAGGCUGAAACCCGCCUCCAUGAAGUUGGAUUCGCUAGUAAUCGCGCAUCAGCCAUGGCGCGGUGAAUACGUUCCCGGGCCUUGCACUCACCGCCCGUCA
rnacentral:rRNA from 1 species